rnacentral:rRNA from 1 species
AUUGAACGCUGGCGGCAUGCCUUACACAUGCAAGUCGAACGGCAGCACGGGAGCAAUCCUGGUGGCGAGUGGCGAACGGGUGAGUAAUAUAUCGGAACGUGCCCAGUCGUGGGGGAUAACGUAGAGAAAUUUACGCUAAUACCGCAUACGAUCUAAGGAUGAAAGCGGGGGAUCGCAAGACCUCGCGCGAUUGGAGCGGCCGAUAUCAGAUUAGGUAGUUGGUGAGGUAAAGGCUCACCAAGCCGACGAUCUGUAGCUGGUCUGAGAGGACGACCAGCCACACUGGGACUGAGACACGGCCCAGACUCCUACGGGAGGCAGCAGUGAGGAAUAUUGGACAAUGGGCGCAAGCCUGAUCCAGCCAUGCCGCGUGCAGGAUGACGGUCCUAUGGAUUGUAAACUGCUUUGUACAGGAAGAAACACUACUUCGUGAAGUAGCUUGACGGUACUGUAAGAAUAAGGAUCGGCU